UGAUGGUGCUGGUCUAGGGAAUACACUUUGAGAAUCAUUGGUUAAGACCUACUGCUGGCUCUCACUUCUGAAUGGGGCAGAGAAUGCCCUUCAUCUUGGCACUUCUCUUAAUUCCAGUUACUACUUUACCAUUAUUAUUUUAAGCCUUUUUUUAUAUUAAGGCUUGAUGGUUUCUAGAAUUACUAGGCAGCCGCGUGUUCAUUGUCCACUGUAUUUCACUGUGUAAUUCUAGAACAUCCAUGCAGUAUCUUUGGAUCUCCAGCUAUGUAUGGCAAAAGAGAACAUAACCUACAUCCCCUACCUUAAUAUUCACAAUUAAUAUCAUACCAGGGGGGCAGCCCAGGUGGCUCAGCAGUUUAAGGCCACCUUCAGCCCAGGGUAUGAUCCUGGAGACCUGGGAUUGAGUCCCACGUUGGUUUCCUUGCAUGGAGCCUGCUUCUCCCUCUGCUUGUGUCUCUGCCUCUCUGUGUGUGUGUGUGUCUAUCAUGAAUAAAUAAAAUCUUUUAAAAAAAAAUAUCAUACCAGGGCUGUUUGCCUGAAGUAAGUGAUGCUAUACUGACCAUUGAGACAGUUUCAUGGUUGCUAAGGAAUCAGGAGAAGAAAUUGAGCAAGAAGCAAGUAAAAUGAGAAUAUCAGAUUGGUUGGGAGCACAUCUUACAAUAAGUAAGGGUUACUUUGGCCCACCUCUUCAUCUUUUUUGGAUUUAAUUGGGAACAAAAAUAAUAAUGCCAAUUAACAUUCUAUGAUGUUUUAGUUUACAAAAUGCUUUCACACUUAUUAUCCUAUUUGAUCAUGAAUUGUAGCAAUCCCAUGAAAUACUAUAAUUAUCUCCAUUUUGCAGACAUAGAAGCUAAAAGUCAGCUCAGUAUAUGAGAUAAGCAGGAGAGCUAGGUUGAAAAUACUACUGCUCAGUUUAAGGCAGAGGAAAAGCAAGAAGGGAAUUGAGAAAGGGUAUAUAUCAAAGAAAGAGUUUUUAAAUUUAAUUUCAGUAGUAAAAACUUGAAGAAUAGUAAACAUUAUAUAAAUGCAAGGUGUGUGCCAUUGCUUUCCUGAGCACAUUUCCUUUAAUGCUCACACUGACCCCCUGAAAUUGCAGCUAUUGUCACCCCUACUUUAUACAGGAAGGAACAGAGGUACAGAGAGUUUAAGAGACUUUCCAGGGACUCAGAGCUAGCCAGCGGCAGAGCUGGGAUUCCUUGUGUGGCCCGAGUCUAUGUUGUCCACCCCUCCAAUCUGCAGACGCACAGGAGAGAAGGCUGGAGUUAUGACGAGCAUGUUACUUUCAAUACGGUGUCUAUGUUACUAAUCAUGUGUGGCUAUUCAAAUUUAAAUUAAUUAGUACUGAAAGAGAUUUCAUAUUUAUUUAGCUCCUAAGCCACAGUAGCCACAUGUCGAGUGCUUAAUAACUGUGGCUAGUGGCUGCAAUAUUGGACAGAGCAGAUUGAGGACGUUUACAUGUACAUCACUGGAGAAAGAGCUGUUGGGUACCUCUAGCCUAAAUAGAGUUAUUCUUUCUAAACAAUUUUUCUCUUUAUCUUUUAUUGGGUCUUAUAAACUAACUAAAGAGAGAGGGGGAGCAUAGCUUCUAGAAAGGGGCACUUAACAUAUUGAGUAUAGAUGACUUAGAGAACUCAAGGGAUUCUAGCCAUCCUGGAAAGGGCAUAGAGCUAAAAUAAAAAUGAGUAGAGAAAGGCAGCAGAGGACUUGGUUAUGGGCACUAUGCGAGUGGUUUUUCCGACCUUGGGUAGGAUUCAGUUUUCGAUUUGAAUGUAACGUUAACAAGUCUACCACCAUAGUAACACUAAGUACCAGGCACUCCCCAUUCUAAGUGUGAAACUCAAACUCAUUUAACCUCUUAGGGAGGCACUAUUAUUACCUCCACUUUGCAGAGGAGGAAACAGAGAGCAAUCAGGUGUCUUGCCCAAGAUCACAGACUAGUAAGUGACAGAGCCUGAUUAAAAUCUAGGGAUGCCUAGAACCCCUGCUUUUAUCUGCUGCAGCCUCUCGAUACCAUGAUACCACAGCACUAUACGGUGGGUGUUUUUGUUAUUAUCCAGCCUCAGGGCAUCACUGUGCAGUCUGAAUACUCAGAAGAGGUAAAAUUUUCUAGAAGAGCAAUUGGCAAUGUUCCAAAGUGCAUGCCAAGUGGUCCUCCCCAUCAAAAUGGCGAUUGGGAAAAGAGUCAGCUUAUAAACCAGGGCCGGGGAAUUGGGUAGGGAUGGCAGGGCCCCCAGCACGGCAGGGCCUGGUGCCUGGCAAGCUGCUGACAUGGCCGGGGAGCCCACCUGCUUGCCCCAGGCGAGUGAGAUGAAUAGCACACUCUCAAAUCAGCCCUUCCCGGCAAAUGACCCAGUGCUGCCUGCCUUCGGGACACAGAUGGCUUCUGGCAAAAUUGCUGUUAAGUGAAAGCUCUCUAGAACACCAAUCUAGACUUUCACAAUUUCUCUGGGAUUCCAUCCAAGCUAACUUUUUAAUAAACCAAAGCUUUUAGGCUUACUCCAGUCUAACCUGAGUUCUACUAAAAUGUUUUUUUCUGCCAUCGUCUCUCUGUCACAACUAAAACUGGGUGUAGACCAUUAUCAUUGAAUAUGUAAGAAUCCUAUUUAUCUCAAGAGUAGUUCUCUCAAACUACCUUGGAAAAUAUUAGGCUGUAAAACAAAUAUCGUUAAAUGCCCAGUCCUUGCUCAUGGAAAGCUUGAUACAGGUGAGAUGUCAGGGUAGGCAUUGUAGCUCUCAAGGGCAAAUGUUUGCUCAGAGGGCAAGCCUGAGAUAAGAGCCAGCCAGUGUUGCCAGGAGGAAGUUAGAGAAUGUUGGAAAGGUCAUCAUUGUCCUCCUGGAAAUCUUCCGCGAGGUGAGGUAGGGCAGACAUCGGAUUUCAUCCGAUUCGGACACUUGAAUUGAAUCUUAGCUCUGUACAUAUUUGAUCUUCACUUGAUCAAGCCAUCUGCUCACUGGAAUCAUUAGCCAGCAGCCUGUGAUAUUUGUGUUGCUGUCAAAGACAACUAUACCGCCAUCACCUCUCUCCUAAUUCUUGCUGACUUUUCCUCCCUCUUCCUUCGCUCUGUAUUUCUUUAGAGAAAAGGCAUUGUGUAGACCCACCAAAUAAAUCCAACAUGCUUUCCACCACCUGUCUUGUAUCUGCUUUGUCAUGACAGCAAGCUUUCCUCCACCCCAGGUUAGUUUCCUUCCCCUGAGCCCGGAAUGGUCUGAGCACUUCCACACCGCCUCCCAGCAGUGCCAGUCAAUCCACACAGGUUAACUUCCUAAUGACCUAAACAAACAGAAGAAGAAUGCUACCAUCAGUGUGGAGGAUUCAGCAUUGACUGGCUUUAAAAUAUAUCCUUACCUGAAGGAAGUCUUUCAGGAAUUUCUUAGCAUGAGCUUGUUCUCAUGGAAUCAUUAUGAGAAUAAUAAUAGGAAAAGCCAGAAACCCUGGUCUCUAACCAACACAUUGUCAAGCCAACAGCCGCUUCAUCAUACGCUGCCACAGCACUGCCUCCCGCUUCCACCUCACCUGCUCCUGACGUCAAGGCAAAGGCAGCAAGCUUCCACGGAUAUGGUUUUACAUGGAUGUCCUGUGGCAUUUGGCUCUUGUAUUUCUUCUGACAGAAUCCUUGAUUUUGAGAAAAUGCCGCCUGACUCCUUGCCUUGCCCUCACUGACUAAGAGGAUGAAAAUCUUGGGAACUGGCUUUCCUCUUUGAGAAAAUUAGUGUCAUCUUCCAGAGCAAAUGUGCUUCUCACUCUCGCCUGCUAAAAGGAUGGAACUCCAUUACCCUUAUGGUAUCAUAAUGUGGCUCGCAAUCAGAUCAAGAUUGUGAGUGCUCAUUACAUGAUUGCAUCUGGGAUGAGAAUUGCCACCAAGAGCAAGUAUUAGCUUAAAAGCUUUUAAUGACAACUCUAGGGUUAAAGUGUCAUUUCCAGCUUUGAAGGACUUCAUUGCAAAGAAGAGAAUUGCAAAGGAGUUAGGUUGUACAUGCACCUGGUAUUCACCCUGGGGAGCAAGAAUACAAAAUUGACCUUGUUCAUUCUUGCAUUCGAGUGCAUUGUGUGUGUUGCUAUAAUUGCAUUAAGUGUUCAUAUACCCCUGCCUAUAAAGGGCAUGUACAGAUGUACCCUCUGUGUCUGUGCAUAACGCACAGCACAGAUCUAAAGGCUAAAGAAAACACAGGCUAAAGAAAACACAGAACUGAUACUUCAUGCACUAGUUUUGUUUUGUUUUUCUGUGGGAAAGUAUUUUGCUGAGUAUAUUCAACAGUGUGUUCACACACUGCCUUCCAAGGUGUCUGGUAUAGUGUUUCUCAGGUACGGAUGUUUUUUAAAACAGUGCUUUGCAAAGGAUUCCCUUGGGGGGCAAUCACUCCUGUCAGUCUGUCUUAGUCAAGUCAAGCUUCCAUUAAAAAAAAAAAAAAAAAAAA